CUUAGUGUCAUUUAAUCAAAUUUCCUUUUCAUUUACGGACUCGACCGAUUCAGUUCGCUUAUCUGAAAGCUAUUUCUCAGAUUUCUUUUCGAAGAAAGAAGAAAGCUUCUUAACCAUGUAGCCCAGGAACGCCAACGAACUUACCAUUUUUCGUAUUAUAUAGGCAAAUAAACGCCAUGUCAUCGUGUGUUUGAUAAUGUUCGUAGUUUCGGGAACGAUGUCGAUAUGGGACUUGGACAAAGUGGUCGCGGAGGAGUUAGUACACUUGAUACUGGGCUUCACUGGGCAGGAAACAUCUUAUGGAGCCACUGGAACACACUACUGACUAUAUUGGCCGUCAUCUGGAGCCAUUCGAUUAAAUCGAAUGGCUGCAAAUGAUGGCCAAGACGAUCCGGACCUCGGAGCUAGUAGAGGAGCAUAAUUUAGCGCCAAGAUCAUAAAAUCUAGUAAGAUUCCGAGUGUCAGUAGGGUGCUCCAGUUACUCCACGAGAUGUUUCCUGCCCACUGAAUCGCUAGCAAGUUUACUAUCUCCUCUGCGACCACGUUGUCUAAAUCCCAUAUGAACAUCGCUCCCGAAACUAGGAACUUCAUCAAACAUACGGAGAUAUGACGUUUGUUUGCCCAUAUGAAACGAAUUAUGGUCGGUUCGUGGACGAUCCUGGGCGGCAUGGGUAGUCAAGGGAUUCGCCCUGAUGCUAUUACCCAGCACAGCUCCAGAGGCAGAUGGCCUGUUUGACCGCAUCCCCAGACAGAAGUCGAGCCCUAUUCUUGCCCUCAUCGGACGUGGGUGCCUCGCCUCCAAUCGCCAGGACUACAUAGGAUCCCUGGGCUUCUUCAAGAGCGUCCUUAAGCGCCGCCCUAAUAGGCCACUGGUUUUGGAGGAUGUGUGAUCUGGACAGUGUCCAGCGCUUCUUUUAGAAGGAGGAGAAUAGCUGCUGUCAGAAAUUCUUGCUUGGAAUGGCCAUCAUUCAGCUGAAUCAACUCGACCCACAACAUUAUAGGAAGGGUAUAAGUCUCCUCAAAGCGGCCUUUCAAAUUGAUGAACAGCAUCCAACAGUUCUAAGAAUUCUUGCUACCUAUUACUAUUCCAUUGGCGAUCAUUGAUGACUGUUACUCUGAAGAAAGCAAAAAAUCA